UGGGGAAUAUUGCACAAUGGGCGCAAGCCUGAUGCAGCCAUGCCGCGUGUAUGAAGAAGGCCUUCGGGUUGUAAAGUACUUUCAGUCGGGAGGAAGGUGGUAAGGUUAAUAACCUUAUCAAUUGACGUUACCGACAGAAGAAGCACCGGCUAACUCCGUGCCAGCAGCCGCGAUAAUACGGAGGGUGCAAGCGUUAAUCGGAAUUACUGGGCGUAAAGCGCACGCAGGCGGUUGAUUGAGUCAGAUGUGAAAUCCCCGGGCUUAACCCGGGAAUUGCAUCUGAUACUGGUCAGCUAGAGUCUUGUAGAGGGGGGUAGAAUUCCAUGUGUAGCGGUGAAAUGCGUAGAGAUGUGGAGGAAUACCGGUGGCGAAGGCGGCCCCCUGGACAAAGACUGACGCUCAGGUGCGAAAGCGUGGGGAGCAAACAGG
rnacentral:rRNA from 1 species